UUUCCAGACUAAGUCUAGCUAACACGAUUGCUCGGUCGUUGCAAGGGGCGUAUAUAUAACGCGCCUCACUCGAUCAAGACGAAAUCACCACACUUUCACUUCUCUUAUAAUCCACAGGUUUUACUCUUAGAGUGGCAGCAAUAGCGAUGGACAAAAUUCGUCUGGCUUGCCUUGGGCUUGUUGCCAUGUUUGUGUUGCUCCUGGUAAUGGGAGUGGACGUGGGAGGAAUCGCAAACGCUGCUGCCCAGCGCUGCCAGUCGGGGUGGUAUUGGUAUGACAAUGGUUGCCACCGUUGCCCGAGGGGUUCGAGCUGGCGCAACAAUCGCUGCUGGAGAAACUGAAGCCUC
rnacentral:lncRNA from 1 species